UCCAAUGGGAAACCAAUGCAGCAAGUAUUUUGGCUUCCAGUUGAUGCCAAUUGGUUUAGUUUGGCAACCCAACUUCAGGUUAGGAGUUGGACUUAGUUUUGCAGCAAUGUCUUAAUGAGACAUUCUGUCUUCCUACAAAGCCAAAAGUUGUAUAUGGAUUGAGAGGCUCUACUGCUGAUAUAUUUGUUGAUAAUGCAGCCUAUAGGAAAUUCCUUUUCAACAAAUUCAACAUCUCAACUGUCGAUGAAGAGAGUUCUGCAGUUGUGAUGACAUCUAUAACAAAUGGAGUGCCUUGUAUAGUGUUCCGCGGUGUAUCAGAUUUGGCAGGGGCCGGAAACAAACUGGAAUCAACAAGCUCGAGUUCUUUAGCUGCUCUUAAUGCUCUUGCCGUUGCAGUUGAAUUUAUCUGCUUAGUUGGGCAGCAGCCAAAUCUCAGGCACGAUGACUAGAACUCACUACUCAGCAUCAUUUAUGAUCCCAACAAUUCAUCACAUUCUGUUGGAAGAUCUUAUUUGUUCAAUCUUAUCUUCCUCCCCUGUGUGUCAUUGGUAAGCAAAGGAGAAUAUCCGAAGGGAAAUUGGAUUCUUUUGAUUGAUGAUGGAAUAAACUCACUAAACAAUUGAUUAUUAAGAAAUGAUCUUCUUGGGGGCAUGUGAGUAUUGGGCUUAGAGAAUGGAAGUUGUUAAGAACUUGGUCACAAGCAUAUUUUAUUUUCAAAAUGAUCACGAACCUGAGUGGAAAACUCAUGAACUAAGCAAAUUUAUGCUUUCAUUUUUCUUAA